UAAGAUUUUAUAUGCUUCUUUACCAUAUUUAUUACUUAAUGUGAUACAUGUUCCGUUACUUUGCUAAUAUAUCUGAUUUAAUAUAUGUGUUAAUAUGAGCAGUAGCUAUUACUGAUUAUUGAAUAAAUCUGGUAAUUGAUUGAUCACCUAGUUAGGGCCCGUAUGCUGGCGGUUGUGCUUAUUGCACUUUUGUUACGCGGUGGGCCUUGGUAAGCGCCACAACUAACUAAUGUCGUGGGCUUUGAUAAGCGCCACACUAACUCUACGUGGGCCAUUUUAGUGCCACUAACUCUACGUGGGUCGUCAGCAUAUGUGAGCCGGGAACCCAAAUAAAAUAUGGAUAU
rnacentral:lncRNA from 1 species